UCCUCCCCCUGCCGAGAUCUUCCCCCACCUAGCGAGCUCUGCCCCGACGAGCACGGAUUGGCCGCCACAGCUGCGGACCAGUUCCCCAUAUCGCCCCAACGUUCGACAUCCAAUUUUUAUGCUGAUAAGAUCCAGAUCCAUUUCAACAGCACCGCCUCUCCCGUCUCCUUCUCGCACCCGUCGUUCCCCGCGUCCGUGCCCCUCCACUUCGAUGGCGUCAGCGGCGGGCUCCCACCACCAUUGAUAGCGAGUGGUGCCGCCCCUCUCCUGACCCUCGGCGGCGCGGCCCUGCUAUUCCCCAACGAUGGCGGCGGUCCCUCCAUCUGCAUCGUCCCCGACAGCAGAUCCGGCGGUGCUCGCUCCUGGGUCCCGGUAGUGGCGUCCCAAUCCCAAUCAGCGGCGUGGAGAGUGCGGGGCUAUGUGAAUGACGACAGUCCCUUCCGGGGGAAUUUUUUUUCUCCAAUCUUGUGUCUGUGGGGCAGGUCCUGUUCUUCAUGCAAGGCGACAGCAACUUCAAUGUGUUUGUGACCAUUAGCGCCCUGCGAUGUGAGACAUCAUGUGCACUUGGCUACGGAAGUUGUAUCGAUGGUGAUUUCAACAUAGAGGUUCUCAGCCUGUUCGUGCUCAGUGAACAGAUCAUAUAUGACUAGGAGAUGACAAGCUCCAGCAGGUGUUUUGGUAUUUUCAGGAAGAAUCGUUACCGGCCUGAUGCUGGCUGCAUACAGUGUGCUAUGUAUGAAUAAAUGAAGUUUCUUUUGCAUUCAUUGGUCACAAAAACUUUUAGAUUAUUGGUCGGAAUGUGCCUGCUGGAAAGACUUGCCAUACUGUUGGUAGUAUGUUAUAUUAUACCUUUUUUUUUUAGUUUUCAACCUCUCUGUACAUUUGAAGGGAUUUUGUAAUUAAAUUUUCCAUAUAGCUUGAAACAUAGUAUGUGUAUAUACUUUGCUUGCAGAGUAUAUAGGUAUGUAAGCAUGCUCUGUCAAAAAUUAGUAUAGAUACUCCCUUGUAGAAGGUAUGCAAGCAUACUCUCUUUUUUUUAAAAAAAAGGUC